rnacentral:rRNA from 1 species
UUUUUUAGGGGGGUGGGUGCUGUCUGGCUAGAUCACGCUGGCGGCGCGCUUAACACAUGCAAGUCGAACGAGAAAGUGGAGCAAUCCAUGAGUAAAGUGGCGUACGGGUGAGUAACACGUGGGUAAUCUACCUCUUAGUGGGGAAUAACGCUGGGAAACCGGCGCUAAUACCGCAUAAGCCUGAGAAGGGAAAGCAGCAAUGCGCUGAGAGAGGAGCCCGCGGCCGAUUAGCUAGUUGGCAGGGUAAGAGCCUACCAAGGCAUAGAUCGGUAGCCGGCCUGAGAGGGCACACGGCCACACUGGCACUGAAACACGGGCCAGACUCCUACGGGAGGCAGCAGUGGGGAAUCUUGCACAAUGGGGGCAACCCUGAUGCAGCGACGCCGCGUGAACGAUGAAGCCCUUCGGGGUGUAAAGUUCUUUCGGCAGGGAAGAUAGUGACGGUACCUGCAGAAGCAGCUGCGGCUAACUACGUGCCAGCAGCCGCGGUAAUACGUAGGCAGCGAGCGUUGUUCGGAGUUACUGGGCGUAAAGGGUGUGUAGGCGGUGCUUUAAGUUUGGUGUGAAAUCUCCCGGCUCAACUGGGAGGGUGCGCCGAAUACUGAAGUGCUAGAGUAUGGGAGAGGGAAGUGGAAUUCCUGGUGUAGCGGUGAAAUGCGUAGAUAUCAGGAGGAACACCUGUGGUGUAGACGGCUUCCUAGACCAUAACUGACGCUGAGACACGAAAGCGUGGGUAGCAAACAGGAUUAGAUACCCUGGUAGUCCACGCCCUAAACGAUGCAUAUUGGUGUGAGCCAUUCAUUUGGUCGUGCUGAGCUACGCGUUAAUAUGCCGCUGGGGAGUACAGUCGCAAGGCUGAAACUCAAGGAAUUGACGGGGCCCGCACAAGCCGUGGAGCA